rnacentral:rRNA from 1 species
UACAGGGGGGGCAAGCGUUGUUCGGAAUUACUGGGCGUAAAGGGCUCGUAGGUGGCCAACUAAGUCAGACGUGAAAUCCCUCAGCUUAACUGGGGAACUGCGUCUGAUACUGGAUGGCUUGAGUUUGGGAGAGGGAUGCGGAAUUCCAGGUGUAGCGGUAAAAUGCGUAGAUAUCGGGAGGAACACCAGUGGCGAAGGCGGCCACCUGGACGGCUAUUGACGCUGAGACGCGAAAGCGUGGGGAGCAAACAGG